UACGUAGGGGGCUAGCGUUGUCCGGAAUCAUUGGGCGUAAAGCGCGUGCAGGCGGUCCGGUAAGUCCGCUGUGAAAGCCGAGGGCUCAACCCUCGAAUGCCGGUGGAUACUGUCGGGCUUGAGUACGGGAGAGGCGAGUGGAAUUCCUGGUGUAGCGGUGAAAUGCGCAGAUAUCAGGAGGAACACCGAUUGCGAAGGCGGCUCGCUGGAACGUUACUGACGCUGAGACGCGAAAGCGUGGGGAGCAAACAGG
rnacentral:rRNA from 1 species